rnacentral:rRNA from 1 species
UACGUAGGGUGCAAGCGUUUGUCCGGAAUUAUUGGGCGUAAAGAGCUCGUAGGCGGUUUGUCACGUCGCUGUGAAACCCUGGGGCUCAACCCCGGGCCUGCAGCCGAUACGGGCUGACUAGAAUUCGGUAGGGGAGUCUGGAAUUCCUGGUGUAGCGGUGAAAUGCGCAGAUAUCAGGAGGAAUACCGGUGGCGAAGGCGGGACUCUGGGCCGAUAUUGACGCUGAGGAGCGAAAGCGUGGGGAGCGAACAGG